rnacentral:rRNA from 1 species
UACGAGGGGGGCGAGCGUUGUUCGGAAUUAUUGGGCGUAAAGGGCGCGUAGGCGGUCGGAUAAGUCUUGUGUGAAAUCUUCGGGCUCAACUCGAAGUCUGCACAGGAAACUAUCUGGCUUGAGUGUGGGAGAGGUGAGUGGAAUUCCUGGUGUAGCGGUGAAAUGCGUAGAUAUCAGGAGGAACACCUGUGGCGAAAGCGGCUCACUGGACCACAACUGACGCUGAGGCGCGAAAGCCAGGGGAGCGAACGGG